AGUAAUUGGUCAGGAGAGAUUACGUUUGUGGUACGUUUUAUUUUGUGAGGGUGUGGAGAGUAUUUUUUUGGGGACCUAUACCUUUUGCAUAAUGGCUUUACAAAAAUUGGUAAGUAUAUAUAGUCCCGAAAUUUACUUGAUCUAAGAGUCUCACACUUUUAGCAGCUAAACUUAAGUGUAGCAUAACUUAGGGUCAAGAUUCUCUUAGGGGUGAUAUGCCAAUCAAGUUAAAAGAUAUCUGGGUGUAGGGGAAAUAUAUUUAGUAUAUAUAGUACAUAGCAUAAACUAUAAGGUUUAUGCCACACAAUAUUAUCAAUUAAUUAUAUUAGAAUUAUUUAAUAAUUAAUAAUUAAUCAGUCCACUCUUAUAGAACUUAGUUUUAUGCGUAUUUGAAUUAAUACCCUAAGCUUUAGUGAAAUUUUUCACUUAAUCUAUAAUGUAAAUAUUAGUAAGUAUUUUAAAUCUUUAUGAAGGAACUCGGCAAACCUAUUUCUCUUGUCUGUUUACCAAAAACAUAGCUUAAAGAGUGCGUAACACAGAUUUUAAGUAACCCCUGCCCGGUGAGUUAUAGAAACUUUAACGGCCGCAGUACCUUGACUGUGCAAAGGUAGCAUAAUAAUUUGUCCUCUAAUUAAGGUCUGGAAUGAAGGGGGACACAGGGGAGAGCUGUCUCUAAUAAGGUUAAUUUAACUUUCUUAUCAGGUGAAAAUUCCUGAGCCUCCGAUGAAAGACGAGAAGACCCUUAGAGUUUUUAUUAUAACUUGAUAUAUUAAGAUUCUUGUUCUGUUUUUGUUGGGGCGACAGGGUUACAAUAGAUAACUUACCCUACCAUAUUUUUAUAUGGCGAUCAUUAUACUUUUAAUUAAGCUACCUAAGGGAUAACAGCGUAAUCUUUUUUUUUGGUUUGCGACCUCGAUGUUGGACUAAGGGCCUACUGGUUUUCUUACCAUUAUUAGUUACCAUUAUGGGGCGGUUCUGCUCGAGCUCUUCCUACCCUACAUGAUCUGAGUUCAGACCGGCGCAAGCAGAGGUCAGAUGUUGGACUAGGGGCCUACUGGCUAGUCACCAUCAGGUGGCGGGUCCGGCCGUACUGUUCCUGUUCUAACAUGAUCUGAGUUCAGACCGGCGCAAGCCAGGUCAGUUUCUAUCUUCCAUUUUGAUUUUAAUUAGUACGAAAGGAUCAUUAAAUUAGACUAUUCAGUCUACAAUA
rnacentral:rRNA from 1 species